GGUUCAGGAUGAACGCUAGCGGCAGGCCUAACACAUGCAAGUCGCGGGGCAGCACGGGUAGCAAUACCUGGUGGCGACCGGCGCACGGGUGCGUAACGCGUAUGCAACCUGCCCCCAUCAGGGGAAUAGCCCGCCGAAAGGCGGAUUAAUGCCCCAUAGGCCCAGGGCGCCGCAUGGCGCUAUGGGUAAAAGCUCCGGCGGAUGGGGAUGGGCAUGCGUGCCAUUAGCUAGUUGGGGCGGUAACGGCGCACCAAGGCGACGAUGGCUAGGGGGUCUGAGAGGAUGGUCCCCCACACUGGUACUGAGACACGGACCAGACUCCUACGGGAGGCAGCAGUGAGGAAUAUUGCACAAUGGGCGCAAAGCCUGAUGCAGCGACGCCGCGUGAAGGAAGACGUAUUUCGGUAUGUAAACUUCUAUCAGCGGGGAAGAAGAUGACGGUACCCGACUAAGAAGCCCCGGCUAACUACGUGCCAGCCGCCGC
rnacentral:rRNA from 1 species